UUACGUCAUGACGACGGCUACUCUCAUGGCUACCUGAAGUCAGACGAAGAGCUAAAGCUUUUUGAGAGGUCCCUGGCUGCCGUCAACGAGAGGUAUGCUGUGCGGACAUCAAGAGACCUGAGCAAGUCGUCUAAAUCCAAUGUCGUCUUCUCCAUGAUCCACUGCGGAUCUCGAAUCUCUCUGGACAAUGUGCCGUUCCGAGUUGUCAAGGAAACCGUCAAAGUGUGCAUAUUUGGAACGGAGUACUACAAGAAAACUCAGGAGAAAAAAAAAGAACAGAGUUCAAGUACCACUGACUGGCAGAAGGAGGUGUACGGGAAGAAGUG